CACUGAUAUGUUAAUUGAUGCUCACAAAAUUUAGAGGAAAAAAUAUUGUAUAGCUCAUAACACUAGGAUCCAAUCAGAGGUCACUUAUGCCACAGCCCAUGUUUUUUCUACUUUACCAGGCUGUCCUCUGAGCCCCAGUGGGCCUCUGACUUUGGACUGAAGAGGACAGGAUGGUGGUGGAGGUGGAGAUGUUUGGAGAUUAUAAAGAAAGGAUUAGAAGUUGAAGUAGUUGGGACCUGAAGCUUGGUUAUUCCCAGGAAAAUGAUGUAGUCAGACAAAGCUCCCAGAUGCCUAGCAAGCAACAAGUGAAUAAACAAUGACUAUUACUGUAGUCCUGGAGCACCGAACCAGUCUAAGUGUCCGCGGGACAAGCGCGAACUGGAAAACCGAACGUUCCGGGACCCGCUCUUCUGGGAAGCGCACCAAUGCCCUCUAGUGGGUGAGCAACGAACUGGCGGAAGUCCCGCUCCUCUGACCCCUCCCAGGGCCUGACCUGCGUGUUCCUGUACUUCACAUGCUGAUUUUCCACUGACGCGGGGAGAGGGGGCGG